rnacentral:piRNA from 1 species
UAAUAAUAGCAAGCACAGGAUUUGGA